GGCCCUGUGGUGGAAUUGGUAUACACAUCAGUCUUAGAAACUGACGCCGAGAGGAUUGAGGGUUCAAGUCCCUCCGGGGCCACCA
rnacentral:tRNA from 23 species